AAGGAAGGAAGGAAGGAAGGGAGGGAGGGAGGGAGGGAGGGAAGGAACAUCAUUGCUUAAUUAGGUCUGUUUCCUGUUGGAACUAAAUAGAGUUUAGGAGGUUUACAGUCUUUCAUGCUUGCUGAACUGUGUUUUACUUGGUUUCUAACUAAAAAUGAGGGAUCAAACUGUGCUUGUGCUAUGUUGAUACAGAGUUGUCUUUAUUGAAAACUUCACCAUGUGGAGCUGGAGGAUGGCUGAGUGCAGGGAUCAUGUCCUUUGUCUUUGUUUACCUGACUCUGCCAGACCUGGGGUACAGCAGAAAGGAGACCCAUAAACAUGUGGGAGGAUAGGAGAAUAGAGAAAGCAUAGUUCUGGUAAAUGAAGGGGCCUUUCCUGUACCCCAGAGAUGGUGUCAAGUCCCACAAAAGACUCUUUUACCAGAAGAAAAGUAUUUCUGUCAUGGCUCUGCCAUACAAGCAUUCUCUCUCCUCUUUCCAACCUCCUCAUUGUCAUUGAAGUUCAAAUAAAAGGGUGCUCUUUGUUUAAAAGCGACACCAGAGUUUGAUACAGCUCAGGUACAACUUCACGGCUCCUAGUCAGGUCAACUCUUAUUUGACCUGAACAUUUCUCAGCACAAUUGAAGAAGCUCAAAUUCUCACUGCCUGUUUCCUAUUUUCCUAUUACCUGAUUUUCUAGCAGACUGUGACAUUUAUUUACUUUGACGUUUCUUCUCUCGCUCUUUUUUUAAAGUAACCAAGCAAGGGGUUGUCUAUCAAAAGACAUACAAUUCUGUGGCUCUACACUGAUAAAUAUUUGAGGGGAUGUGGCUGAGUGUUUAUAGAGACCUUGGUUGGGGAAAAAUACUGCUCGGCUCCAAUCUUUUUUCAUAAACCUUUUGGCUAGUUCGUUCACUCCUUGGACAAAUAUUUAUGAAGCACCUAUUUUAAUGACGCAAGGGUUUUUCCAGGUAGGACAGAAAUAAAACGAGGUUCUGAGUGGAGAUGUUUAGAAUCCAUAAACCACACAGUGUUAACUUCUGUUAGUGCCAAAAUAAUCCGUGGAUAUUAUUUGGACCGGGGAGGAGUUAAAUAAAGUAAAUAUUUACAAUGGAUUUUGGGAAUUUACAAAAUGUGUGUCCAUAUGUCCUGAAAAGGGAUGUUUGUCUGUUUAGAUAGGGUCUCCUGCUCCCCAUGCUUGUUACAAUGUUUCAGAAUCAUUCCCAGGUCCCAUGAGCUAUGACUCUGGAAAUGGGGGUUUAUGAAGUCUGGUUGCUUUCAGCCGGCUGGGAUUUGAAUUCAGGCUCUGCCAUUUUACCAGCUGAGCAGCCUUGGGCAGGUUGCUUAACCUCUCUGAUCUUCAGUGUGCACAGCUGGAAGGCAGGCAACGUGAGAGCCUUGUACUGUCUCAGAGAGCUGCUGUGAGAUCAGAUGUGUUCUGCAGAGCUUUCCCGCCAUGAAGACAUUACGUCCUGAUCCGCAUCUGCAUCUUGACUUUUGCUCAUCUGCACAACUUGCUCGGCUUCUGUACAUGAUUGUCUCUGAAAUAAGGGGGCACCUUCUGCCUCGCACACCUCGCUCCUACAUUAAUAAACCCUCCCACAUCCCAGUACCGACUCAGGGAUGGAACUCCGAGCUUCUCAUCACCCCUGCUGUUUACAGAGGUUGCAUUGGGGGUGGUAGUCAGCUUCCUCCAGGAAGAAGGCAUCUCUCGUAUGCCAGCCUGCAGAGUGCCCUGGCCAGGGUACAUGCCCCAGGGAAAACUGCCCAAGGGAGGCAGUGCAUCCACCAUCUCUCUGCAGCCCUGCUGGCUCCUCCGACCUCAUCCCCCUCCCUCCCUCCUUGCCUCCUACCCUCCCUCCCUGCAUUCCUCCCUCCCUCCCUCCCUCCCUCCCUUCCUUCAGGAGCCUUUGCAGCCUCAGGGCAUUCACGCUGCACCUCUGGCUUCCUGCUGGAGGUUUUGGAAGGUGAGAUAAAGCCCCUGGGAUGCUGAGCUCUCUCUGGACCUGAAAAAGCCUCCCAUCAAGAGAUGUCUUAGAGAUUCUUAGCAAAAAUUUCAGUAGCCAGGGAUAAGGUCAAAGAGCCAGUGCUGGGUUUCUCAACCCGGUUGAUCCAUGUCCUCUUCAUUCUAGUAGGUCAGGGGAUUCUGGAGUUGGGGGUGCGUUUCCUGGGAGACAGCCAACCCGGCUAGUAGAGCAUCCCGCCUUUGGUUUCAGUAUGGGAAGAAGCCUGACACACCUGGCCUUUCUCAACUCCUGCAAGUCACAACCUCCCAGAACCUGUUGUACUAACGCCGGUGGAGUCAAGGAUGUGAGAAGUGGGAGAUGCAGGAGCAGAGGCACAGGAAGCACAGAGCUGCUGGCCCUUUCUCAGAAGCACAUCAGCCAAAUGCGCCGCAGCCUCCAGGCAGCCGGCCUGCAUCUUCAUCCUGCGAGGGCCCUGCUCCCGUCAGUUAUGAAUGCAGCCAGCCCAUCAACCGACAAACCUGCGUGAGUUCAGUGCCCAGUGCUAAACCCCGGAAGUGACAGAACGACAGAGAGGAGUCUCUACUGGCUGGGACUGGGCUACCUUGUCCCCUGCAGAUCUUACCAGGAGGGCACCUGGUCCGUCAGGGGCUGCUUGGAAACUCAGUGCUCAAGGCUACAGUGUCACCUGCACCAUGGUGCUGGCCGUCACCACAGACCACAGGAGCACCUUUUCUCCUGGCAGCCAUGAGCUGCAGCGUCCAGGCGGUCUCACUGUUCAGCGACCUGCUCUUUCUGGAGAUUUGCAUCUUCGGAACUGAUAAUGCCGGUCCCCUUUAGAUUUCCAUCGCCUGCCUGGGAACGUCAGUGUAUAAUAAGAGAAAUAAAAUUGAUUUUGUUGCGUUCUCAUUUGGUUGCCUUUGAGCCAACAUAGUUUAAAGUGUUUAUAUACAUUCCAGAAAGGGCAAACAUCAACAGCAGAUGAGCUUGAUGUUCCAUUACUUCCUGAGAAAUCAGAGAUGUUCUGUGCGCCUUGGCCCCUGCUUCAGGGCACGGAGCUGACAGUUGCAAAAGCUCCCUGUGUGCCAGCCAGUGCCAAGGGCACGCUUCUUCCCUACGGAGCUUCCCCCGAGGAGCAGCAAGGUCACUAUUGGGCUCAUUUUAUACAUGACUGGUGGCCUGGAGCUCGGGUCGUCCUGAACUUGUGGCCCAGGCUCUUUCCAGUGUCUGUACUGCUAAGAGAACGGCCAUGCUUUGAGAGAUGCCGAAAAGAAUUGGGCCGUUUAGGUUGCAAAACACGGGCUUUCCCAACUCCUUUAUUGUUUAAAUAUCACCAGUGAAAUGGGGGAAAUUUAUUUAGCACAUUAUUGUAGUCGGAUUUCAUAUUAAGACAACAAAAUCUCUCUUGUUUCUGUGUGGUGGCCUCACCUGCCUCCCUCCACAGCCAGUAGUCAGGGGGACAUAUGAAUCACUGCCCAAGCCCUGACCCUUAUGAGAGAGAGUCCAGGUGUGAGCCCAGGUCCACAGGCAAGACUGAUCAUUACACUGAGCAAUGAAUGUGAGCUGAGCUGGUCCGGAGCAAACUGGGGCGUACAGUCACCCGAUUUAUAAAACAUCCCACAGUGAUGAGGGUCAUUCAUUCAUUCACUCACUCAUUCAUCUCUCAAGUGCUUCUGGGCCGCCCCUGGGUGCCAGGCCCUUUGCUGGCGUAAACCAGGUCAAUUUGUCCCCAACUCUUCCAGCCUGGAUACCCUGGGGGGGUUAUUGCCCCUCUGUUCCCACACCAGAGAUGGCUUCCCAUUUUACAGGUGGCCAAGUAUACACUUGUACCCCCACACACAGAAGAUGGCAGAGCCCGGGGGCUCUGAAGCCCAGUGGUCGAGGUGUGCCCAGCCUUUGCUAAAGGCAGCAGAGAAUGGCUGGGUUUGGGGAACAUUCUUCCUCACCUGAUAAAUACAAGAGCUUCUCCCUUUGCCGGGGCACAGAUACCGUCACCACCAUGUCAGGGAAGAGAUCAUGCCGUCCCCAGCCCAGGCCUCCCUGCCUCUUUUUCUCUCUCCUCCUUCCUUCCCCUCUCAACUUUAGAUCCCCAGCCACAAACAUCAAACCCUGGUUUUUUAAACAGCUGGGAACCCAUCCGUUAAGCAGAAGGCAGGCAGAAUGUCCGUGUCCCAGGAGCCACCCAUCUUCUUGAAUUGCCACUCCUGUCCUAAGCACGACACUUCAUUUGUACAUACUUUGAGUUAUAGUCUCCAGAAUAAUUAAUUUUAAUACGGAUGGAAGAAUCGAUUCCUUGGGAAGAAAGCCAAUUUCCUGAACGUGGCAUACUGUUUGAUGGGUAAUUUUCUCUUUCUCAUUCCAGGCAAGGAAAUUCCAUUUGGGUGUUAAAUUUGUUGACUAGGGUAGAGAUAACAGACCCGCAGAUUGUAAAAUUCCAGCUGGGACAGGGGUGUGAGGGUGACUACUGGGAAUCCAGAUGACUUACAGUGCUAGCUCCUAAUCAAUCACUGUAACACGGUGAGUGAAUGGAGAGGAAAAACUAUUUCAGAGCAAAUGUUUGCCUGGGCUUUGGAGAAGUGGUUAUUUAAGGGAGUGCAGGGACCAGAAGCUACGUUUCUAGAGUGAUCCUGGAAGGAUGCUGGUUGGGUGACUGGGAGACCUUGGAGGAGGCGCGAGUUAGGAAUGUUCUGAGCAUGGCCUGGGCGCACCAGGCAGGUGCUCAGGGGACAGUCCUGUGGCUUCCCGAUGGCGCCACCUGCUGGUCACUGCUGGCAUAGCACCCAAACUUCAAGCCUGGCGCAUGCGCGGAAUCGUGGGGGGGCCCUGCCCGCCCCCAGCCCUCCCCCACCUGCCCCUCCUGGAUCCCUAAUGCUUUCAAAUUCAGGUGCUAAGUUGAGUCUAUAAAAUGUGAAGUUAUAAUACCAUUUCACUAGAAUUUUCUUUUAGGACACGCCUGUCUAUGCUUCCUCUGUCUGUCCGAUUGGGCUGUGGGCAUCCUAGGGCUCUCCCCUCUGCCCCAGGAGGGUACCAUGGCUGGUGCCCAGCCGCGCUCAGCAACUGUGGGUGCCUCACACGUGCCAGUUCACAGGCAGUGCCCUAAACACCUGGAAUGUGGCUCUCACUGUCCCCGUCCCACCAGCUCAGAGCGGAACCUGGGCCAGAGAGUCCACCUGUGUCCUCACUGGUCCUAAAGGCGGAAACUGUCUCAAGAUCAGAGGCGGGAAGAACCUUUAAGAGACAAGUGACUUGCCUGGGGUAACAAGAUGGAGAGCUCAGGUGUGAACCCAAGUCCACCUGUCUUCUGUGUCGGGGCUCUUCUCAAGGGUGAUUUUAAACUCAAAGGUGAUUUUAGGACAGUUAAAUGUUCCAGGUUAGCUCUGACCCUGUGGUCACUCAACAGUACAGCAACUUCCCGGCCAGUAAACCAAACUUCUUGCCCUGUGCCUGUGAGGUCCGGCCCAUCCUCCCCAUGAGCCUGAGCUGGUAAACAUUCAGCAUUAUGUGCUACCCUUGCUUUGCUGAGAAGCCCCAGAUGAAGCUCCUCACCAUGGCAGCGAGGCACCCCAGCCUUGGGAGAGAGGCCCAUGCCAUCAGCUUUGUCCCGACAGCUUCCAGAACUGUGAGAAGCUUCUGUUGUUCUUAAGCUGUUGACUUCCUGGGCUUCUGCUCAGCUCAGGAGUCAUUAAGGUGCACCUGCUCCUUGCUAGUCAUGGACGAGGCAUCAUUUCCCGUCCUCAGGAGCUUUACAAGAGCAGAGAUGGGGGCUAGCCCCAGUGGCAUAUUCAGCACUCAGGAUACCUAUGACAAAUACAAGGAGUCCAGCAAACGUUCAGUGGUUGGCACCAGUCACUCCCCACAACCCUGCCUUGAACCCACUGAAGUCUUUUGCAGGGGAGUGUGGUCACCCAGUUAGAGAAGAGGUCCCCUGAAGGCAGCAAGGCUGUCAAAUCUUGUUAAUUAAACAAGGCCUCCUUCCCGGCUCUGUGUCCCGAAGACACUCAGUAAAUAUUUGUUGAACAAAUAAACACAUUUCUAUUCAUGGCUUCUGGUCACUAAAAUCAGUGUUUCUUUAAAAAUUCACGAGCGCCAUAAUGCUUCCCAGUGUGAGAGCAAACCACGUUAUGAAAUUGGCAUGAAACUUCUAUUAAAGAGAAGAGUAUCUACUUAAUAAUAUUGCCAGAGGGGAGCUUUUUGGGUUACUGCUGUGCUGCAUUAUAAUUUUCUAUAAUUACAUAGUGUUGAUUGUAGUUUACCAACAGAACAUCAAUAAAGAAAAAACAUAACCCUGAAACUAUAUUACCGCAAGUGUGUAGCUUUACCAAAUGGAAACUCAUCGGUUAGCUGGGUUGAGGGUGGCAAAGAAAAUGUUCUCCAAAGUCGUGAGUGGAGCUCACAAAGUGUGCGGUCGGAACAGACAGCAGGGAGGAUCUCUAUUA